CGCGCAGGCGGCGCGUUAAGUCCGGGGUGAAAUCCCACGGCUCAACUGUGGGGGACCCUGGAUACUGGCGUGCUGGAGUGCGGGAGAGGGAAGCGGAAUUCCACGUGUAACGGUGAAAUGUAUAGAUAUGUGGAGGAACACCGGUGGCGAAGGCGGCUUCCUGGACCGUAACUGACGCUGAGGCGCGAAAGCUGGGGGAGCGAACA
rnacentral:rRNA from 1 species